CGGCGUGCUUAACACAUGCAAGUCGAACGAUGACGACCGUGCUUGCACGGUCUGAUUAGUGGCGAACGGGUGAGUAACACGUGAGUAACCUGCCCUCCACUUCGGGAUAACCUCGGGAAAUCGUGGCUAAUACCGGAUAUGAGCACUCAUCGCAUGGUGGGUGCUGGAAAGAUUUAUCGGUGGGGGAUGGACUCGCGGCCUAUCAGUUUGUUGGUGAGGUGAUGGCUCACCAAGACGAUGACGGGUAGCCGGCCUGAGAGGGCGACCGGCCACACUGGGACUGAGACACGGCCCAGACUCCUACGGGAGGCAGCAGUGGGGAAUAUUGCACAAUGGGCGAAAGCCUGAUGCAGCGACGCCGCGUGAGGGAUGACGGCCUUCGGGUUGUAAACCUCUUUCAGUAGGGAAGAAGCGAAAGUGACGGUACCUGCAGAAGAAGCGCCGGCUAACUACGUGCCAGCAGCCGCGGUAAUACGUAGGGCGCAAGCGUUGUCCGGAAUUAUUGGGCGUAAAGAGCUUGUAGGUGGCUUGUCGCGUCUGCCGUGAAAACCCGAGGCUCAACCUCGGGCGUGCGGUGGGUACGGGCAGGCUAGAGUGUGGUAGGGGAGACUGGAACUCCUGGUGUAGCGGUGAAAUGCGCAGAUAUCAGGAAGAACACCGAUGGCGAAGGCAGGUCUCUGGGCCAUUACUGACACUGAGAAGCGAAAGCAUGGGUAGCGAACAGGAUUAGAUACCCUGGUAGUCCAUGCCGUAAACGUUGGGCACUAGGUGUGGGGGACAUUCCA
rnacentral:rRNA from 1 species